GUGUCUCUUCCACCUCCUGAUACAGAUGAACCCUGCUCAAGGCAUACAAAAUAUGUAACAGAAUGGAUGACUGAGAAAAUGAAUGGCUAUAUCUAAGCCGGGUAACCAACGUGCCAGCACAAAUUAUUUCCCAUCCGUCCUCUGCCUACUGAAUCAAAAUACAUGCAUACAUAUAUGGAUGUAUAUGUAUGUUAAAUUUUCUGAGAUGUAUUUCUUAAUUCUCUAAU
rnacentral:lncRNA from 1 species